rnacentral:rRNA from 1 species
UACGGGGGGGGCAAGCGUUGUUCGGAAUUACUGGGCGUAAAGGGCUCGUAGGCGGCCGACUAAGUCAUACGUGAAAUCCCCCGGCUUAACUGGGGAACUGCAUCCGAUACUGGAUGGCUUGAGUUUGGGAGAGGGAUGCGGAAUUCCAGGUGUAGCGGUGAAAUGCGUAGAUAUCUGGAGGAACACCGGUGGCGAAGGCGGCAUCCUGGACCAACACUGACACUGAGGAGCGAAAGCCAGGGGAGCAAACGGG